GCCAGUGUGCCAAUGCCUAUCAAAUAUCUACCUGUCAUGUUUGUCAUAGGACAGGUAGAUAUUUGAUAGGCAUUGGCACGUUGGG
ncrna:Macaca mulatta (Rhesus monkey) microRNA mml-mir-3927 precursor